rnacentral:tRNA from 1 species
UGCCCCAUGGCUGAGUUGGUUACAGCGUCCGACUGUUAUUCUUGGGCUAUCGGAAGGUCGUGAGUUCGAGCCUCACUGGGGCAG